GAUGAAGAACGCAGCGAAAUGCGAUAAGUAAUGUGAAUUGCAGAAUUCAGUGAAUCAUCGAAUCUUUGAACGCACAUUGCGCCCGCUAGUAUUCUGGCGGGCAUGCCUGUCCGAGCAUCAUUUCAACCCUCAAGCCCCCGGGCUUGGUGUUGGGGAUCGGCGAGCCUCCGCGCCCGCCGUCCCCUAAAUCUAGUGGCGGUCUCGCUGUAGCUUCCUCUGCGUAGUAGCACACCUCGCACUGGGAAACAGCGCGGCCACGCCGUUAAACCCCCAACUUCUGAACGUUUGACCUCGGAUCAGGUAGGAAUACCCGCUGAACUUAAGCAUAUCAAUAAGCGGAGGA
rnacentral:misc_RNA from 1 species